rfam:Penicillium roqueforti FM164 genomic scaffold, ProqFM164S03
AGCAUGUUAGCUCAGGGGAAGAGCGCCGGGCUCAUAACCCGGAGGUACGUUUCACCGAACCCAAUUUGACUCACAAACAUCAAACUAACUCACAAUAGGACCCUGGAUCGAAACCAGGACAUGCUA